rnacentral:rRNA from 1 species
UACGAAGGGGGCUAGCGUUGCUCGGAAUCACUGGGCGUAAAGCGCACGUAGGCGGCUUCUUAAGUCAGGGGUGAAAUCCUGGAGCUCAACUCCAGAUCUGCCUUUGAUACUGAGGAGCUUGAGUACGGAAGAGGCGAGUGGAAUUCCUGGUGUAGCGGUGAAAUGCGCAGAUAUCAAGGAGGAACACCAAUUGCGAAGGCAGCUCGCUGGGACGUUACUGACGCUGAGACGCGAAAGCGUGGGGAGCAAACAGG